CCUCCAUUUCUUGGCAUACUUGAGGUUGUGAAGUACUCAUGUGUGUAAUGUACGGAGGAAGAGAGAAUGCAGCGCUAUGUCUUCGGUGCCGGUGUGUAUUGUUGUCUGCCGGUUCUAUCCUCAAUCGCUCCGACACUC